GUCUGUAUAACUUGUGACUAAACUGGAAAACAGAGUGGUGCAGUUUUUCUGACUCAGGUUUCCAGUAAUAUUCAUUGGAUACGUGUUAACUGUCUUACUACUGUUGAAAAUCACAUUGUUUGGAUAGAGGCCAAAUCUGUAGUCAGUUUUAAUCCACACUCCAAAGGUUUCUCUGCUGCUGUUAAAAUCUUGUUCUGGUUUAGCACUAAAGUUACAUGGGAUUUGCAAACAAGAUCCACUCAGUGCUUCCAUCUUCUUUGGUGCAG